rnacentral:tRNA from 1 species
GGCGCUAUGGUGUAGUGGCAGCACAUGGGAUUCUGAUGUGAUCACAUUCCCAUAACCCAGGUUCGAACCCUGGUAGUGCCU